GUGCUCACUUCAAUAGCACAUAUACUAAAAUUAGAAUGAUACAGAGAAGAUUAGCAUGGCCCUGUAUAAGGAUGACACACAAAUUCGUGAAGCGUUCCAUAUUUUU
rnacentral:snRNA from 1 species